rnacentral:rRNA from 1 species
UACGGAUGGUGCAAGCGUUAUCCGGAUUCACUGGGUUUAAAGGGUGCGUAGGUGGGCAGGUAAGUCAGUGGUGAAAUCUCCGGGCUUAACUCGGAAACUGCCAUUGAUACUAUCUUUCUUGAAUACCGUGGAGGUCAGCGGAAUAUGUCAUGUAGCGGUGAAAUGCUUAGAUAUGACAUAGAACACCUAUUGCGAAGGCAGCUUACUACGCAUAUAUUGACGCUGAGGCACGAAAGCGUGGGGAUCAAACAGG